GACGAACGCUGGCGGCGUGCUUAACACAUGCAAGUCGAACGGAAAGGCCCUGCUUUUGUGGGGUGCUCGAGUGGCGAACGGGUGAGUAACACGUGAGUAACCUGCCCUUGACUUUGGGAUAACUUCAGGAAACUGGGGCUAAUACCGGAUAGGAGCUCCUGCUGCAUGGUGGGGGUUGGAAAGUUUCGGCGGUUGGGGAUGGACUCGCGGCUUAUCAGCUUGUUGGUGGGGUAGUGGCUGACCAAGGCUUUGACGGGUAGCCGGCCUGAGAGGGUGACCGGCCACAUUGGGACUGAGAUACGGCCCAGACUCCUACGGGAGGCAGCAGCGGGGAAUAUUGCACAAUGGGCGGAAGCCUGAUGCAGCAACGCCGCGUGCGGGAUGACGGCCUUCGGGUUGUAAACCGCUUUCGCCUGUGACGAAGCGUGAGUGACGGUAAUGGGUAAAGAAGCACCGGCUAACUACGUG
rnacentral:rRNA from 1 species